GAAAGAAAAUUCAAUGCUUGGGAAUGGAACGGGGAGAUGGGAGCAUCAUCCCUGCGUCCACCCGAGCGCCGUGGGGCGGCCGCCCGCGGGCACAGCGCUGCCCGCCCCGGCCCCAAAGUUGGGACCGACCCCGCGGCCAAUGGAGCGAGCGGUGGGGAUGGACGGUGCGACCGAAAGCAACGAGGGGUCUCUUUAAAAUUCCCAUCCACUUCAGAUGUCUAAAGUAAGAUUGUGAUGAUUUUGUCACGGUUUGGUAAAUUUACCCCUUUAAGAGGCUUUCAUAAAUCCCAGAACACACCUUCAGCCAGAUUUGAAUAUAGAUUUAGGUUUUAAAACCCAGAAGCUGGGAACACCGCUUUAUCAAAGAGAAUUUCCCUUUAGCUUAGCGAUGUGUCGGAAUGGCUCUCGCAAAGAUCGGAUCGGAGAGGGGGAAAAAUAGGGGGAAGCCUUCAUCCCGGAGCGAUCCUACACGCACUUUGCAGCCGCAUUCCGCCUUCAGCCUCAGGAAAAGUUGCCCCCAAACAAGCAAAAAAAAAAAAAAGAAAAAAAAAAGUGGCAGCCGUAGGAACUGUUUUUUUUUUUUAAUUACUAUUUUAUUUUUAAUUAUUUUUUAAGGAAGGGAAAAAGAAAAAAAAACCAACAAAAACAACCAAACAAAACAGCCAAUGCGACCAAACCCCUUUCCGACCUCCUGCGCUCCGUUCGGAUAGCAGCUCCGGGCAGGUAUACAGAGCCGCACUAACUCGGGCUCAACGGGGAGCGACUUUUGUGCUCAGAGAACCCCCAGAUCAGCUCCCGGGAUGGAAAGGAACUGUAACUUCUGCUGCUCAGGUCUGUGGGAGGCUGGUCCCUCUUUGAACAUCUGGAGUGGUGUGUGGCUGCAUUCAUUGGAAGAGGAACCCCACGUGGAAAACCAGGGCCAGAGCUAAAGGCAGGAUUCAACUCCUCUUCACCCUUGAUGUGCUGGCCCAGCUCCAAGGAGAUGCUAAGGUAGCAGCUCAUACAACUCUGCUGGCUUUGGAAGGGAGCUUGGGAGUCCCCAGAUCCUUCUUGUUCGUGUAUUGGCUCCAGUCUCAUCACUUACAUGGAGAUUUGCUUGCAGGGAAAUCAUAACCUCAAGUCAUGAUGUUCCUGGGACAUCCCAAAGUUGGGUUUUGCUGGAAGAUGAAGAGCAGGAAGCUCAGUAAGAAGAGCCACAUCCAAUGUUUCAGUGAGGGACUUCAGGAACCAUCGUUCUUCCCUAAAAAUGACAUGCCUAGAUUCCUCUUGCCACCCUGGGUUAUCUUCCACGUGGCCAACAGCAGUAAUUUUCUGUGAUCUAGGAAUAUCCCACUAGGCUUUCUAUUUCGCACUGUAAAUAAGUGGUUGCUUUUAACUCACUCCUUGUCAUAAUUUCACACACUCCUUGGUGUAUCAGAGCAUAAUAAAGAAGAUCAGAAGCCACAGUGCCUGACGUGGCUGCUUUACAUGUCUGCUCAAGACAGCCCUCACCAAAAUCCUUCCUUUGAAGUCAAGAGAAGAUCCACAUGGACAAUAGAUCCCCACUAUGUACGUGACCCAGCACUCAUCAAAUACAGUAACAUGCUACAGAUUACUUCUCCCCAAAUAUUUAUUGGACCCUAUGCAUUUUUUUCUUAGCUCGAUGGUGUUCAAGUCACACAACCCCCAAGGAUACAUGGAAUUUCCCAUGCUCGCUGCUCUGAACUUCACAUCUAUGGUUGGGUUGGCAACCAUCUCCCAGGAUGAGCUCUGGACCCAUGGAAACAUCAGUACAGCUGCAUUUGGGAGCUAAGCUAAUAUUUUCCACUUUCAGUAAUAAAGCAUGUGGCAUGAUUUCCAUCCAACACAAAACCUGCGUGCGAUCCCAUGUAUUGGCAGGACCACCAGUGGGAACUGAACUGGGUGAAGAAAGAAACCAUUUUUCCUACAUUUACCAUUUUAAUUGACUUCUCCUUUCAUUUGUUCCCCUUUGGUGCCCUCUGACUACAAACGUUCAAGUGGCUGUAGUAACCCCCAGGAAAAAAAAUAGUUGUGCUAAAUGAGAUUUUUUUUUAUGUGUGGGUGUUUAAGUAUCUGCAUGAAGCAAAUUUCUACCCUCUUCUAAUCAGAAUGGGAAGGAGACCAUGUGAGUGAUGUGACCAAUUAUGACCGAGCACCCCAGAGCAGCGUCUGAAUAUUCACGUCCAAUUGCUACUUUGGUGGAACAAUUGGUUUGAACAGUUUGAAAAGGCAAUGAUGUCAAACGUGCAGCGUGAUUAAACACGGUGAAAUUACCAGCCGUUGAGCUGAAAGAGGAGCUCUGUUCACUUCCCAGAGCGAUGCUGCUUUCAAAUUUUGCUCUGAUGGGAGCAGGAAACACCAUGCCCAGGUGGCCUUAUCCCGGAGUCCCAAAUUGCUCAGUGCAGAGGUGCAGCUGAGCUUUGGAGGUAGCAUGGACUGGGAUUUGGGAUGCGUGCAGCAAGCUAAAUGUGUCCCCUUUACCCUGACCCUAAAGUAGGCACAAUCCUGUUCCUCUGGUAGUUCAUUCUGCAAGAACACCACGCUGCAUAUGUGAUCUGAAUCGAUGCUUUUUGGGGCCAAGUAUCUGGGAGCUGAACCAUCCCAACAACAGGCAAACGCUCCGCCUUCCCCACUGGCAUCAGAUGGGAGCUCUGCUGCUUUCUGUGGACAUGGUAUCAUUGCCUUCCUCACACCUAUGUCUGCAUCAUUGAAACUGCCUAUGCCCUCCCAGAAAAUAGACCAUAAAUUCCUCCCCCCCAGCUCUCUCUUGUUUUAAAAAUGUGUAUACCACAGUACGCUGUAGUUCAGUACUAACUCCAGCUUUCUGAUAAUACAGGCUCAAGCAUUAGGAGAAAUAGCAUUUUUGUCGUGGUGCAUGGAGCACUGUGCAGUUCCCAGAUGGCAGAAGGGAGCCAUGAACACACACGGGGAGCAUAAAGUAAUGCAUCCUCAGCUUCGUGCCUUGUGCUGAGCCCCUGUCAGAGAGCGUGGGCGCCGAGACCCUAUGCCUCUGGCUGCUCCAUUUGGGGCCAGCUCCAAAAACAAUCGCCCUCCUCCUGCUCCCCAUCAGGGAAAGUGAUUGCACUUGCUUGAGUACAAAAAAAAAAAAAAAGAUGUUUUUCUUAACACAUUUGUGCAAAAUGCUUUUUAAACACGAUGCACGAGCCAUACAGGAGCAAACAGCCCUUAUAAAUCCUCCCUGAAACUGGGAAACUUUUUCUUUCUCUUUCUUCUCAUUUCCUACCCAGAGGUCUGAGCUAAUUUUCUCUAUCCAUUUUUUCUUUCUCUUUCUUCUCAUUUCCUACCCAGAGGUCUGAGCUAAUUUUCCCUAUCCAUAGGGUCCCCCCACCCCCUCAAAAAAAGGAGGGGGGGAGACUGUAUUCACUAAUUAUACAUCCUGAAAAGAAUUUGGUUCAGUGUAAGAUGAUCCUAGUGAUAUGCUAAUCCUUUUUUCUGCUUGGUGCAGCCUGAAGCCUGUGUCUAACAUUUUUUUCAACUGUAUGACAAUAAAAGUUGUGGCAACAAAAGAAAUAAAUGGGCAGCUAAAGAAGGUAUAGCUGAAACACAUGGCAGACCAGUUCUCUCCUCUCCUUCUGGCUGCUCUUUUGUAGGCUCUGGUUGGGUAUCCUCAAGUCAAUAGCCGAAAGCCAGCCACCUUAGCAACUUAGUAUGACACCCAAGCCCUCUCUCUUUACAUUCAUGAAUAGUCAGCAAGCAGCAGACAAAAUAGAACUAAUCUUUUUUGACAGAAUUGUUCAAUUUUAGAGGAAAGGCUUUUGAGGCACCUUCCAUACACUUGCAGAAUAUGAGACAACAAUGGCCACGAUCACAGUUCACAAAAGGACGACCAGGGGUGUGAGCGCACACACACACACACAACAGCCAUUUCGGUGGAAUAUUGCAGCCAAAUUGAAGUUAUUGCAGGAUACGGUCAUUGUGGCAGGGGAAACUGACAGGCAAAAAAUAAUAAUAAAUAGAUGAAGCAAAAAAACCAAAACCAACAACCCUCCAUUGUUUUGUUGCUGAUUAUUAAACGUACACAUCCCGAUAAUGCGUGAUUAGGGUUAUUUGUCUUGAUUAAUAGAAGUUAAGGGAGCUGAUUAAUAUCCACUCUUUAAUUUCCUGUCAUAGGCUGAUAACUUCAUCUUUAUUUUUUUUUUCCCCUUUUUGGACCAAUGAUUCUUAUUGUGAAAUGCAUUCAAUCCAGCGGGUCCUUGCCUGCAUUUAAAGCUGGUUUUGCCAUUUCAAAAUCCUGUAACGCAGCAGCCACUCGCAAGUCUGGUGUGUGCAAAGAAGGACAUUCCUCCUUUUCCCUUCUCUCCCUUCCAUUUAAUGCAAGCCAUAUCUCUAUCUCCAAAUACACUCUGGGCAGGAAAGAGGAGAAAAUAAUAAUAAGAGGAAGAAUAAAAAUCUACCCAGUCUAUGGGCAAAAACAGAAGUUAGCAACAUGGUCCAUGCAGCUGCAACACUACAUUUAAAAUUCAGUUUACUCCUAGGAAGAGGGCUAAUCCUGCCCCUGUAAUUCCCUACAGCCAAAAUGUACCCCCCUCCCUGAGUGACAGUGCAAUGCAAAGACACUCGCACGCUUAUCUUCCCCAACCAGAUGGCCGACUUGGAUCAAUGCACACACGCCACGAUCAAUGGGAGCGAUAAAGAAUUAGGAAAACAGUGGUACAUGCUCCCAGAAAGCUUGUACACUGCAUAAUUAUUUUAUGAUUCUACACAUGGCUACAUGUGAUACUGGAGUCAAGAAGGAAAAGGAUAAUUAGAGAGCCAGAAAGCACCCGUACUGCACUACACACUUUGUCAGUCAGCAGUUCCCACUCGGCUCAAGUCACCGCCGUUAUCUUCUCUCCUGCCCUCUUGCAAAUGAAUUUCAGGAAUACGUAAAAUAUUAGGGGGAGGUGGCUUCUGGGUUACAGACACGGGAUGUGGGAGAUUACCAUGUCCUGUGAUACGACAGCAAAAGUUUUUGGCUGAGAGUCGGGGUUGGCUGUGGGCACUGGGGUGGUAUCUGAGGGGACACUGCAAUGGACGGUUUAUACAUUUGAGGGCUUUGUCAUGAGAGGGACAUGUCCAAAGCUGGAUGUCCCAUUCAUUUAAUAAAAUAUAUAUAUUACUC
ensembl:lncRNA